rnacentral:rRNA from 1 species
UGGGGAAUAUUGCACAAUGGGGGAAACCCUGAUGCAGCGACGCCGCGUGAACGAAGAAGGUAUUCGUAUCGUAAAGUUCUGUCCUAUGGGAAGAUAAUGACAGUACCAUAGAAGAAAGCUCCGGCUAAAUACGUGCCAGCAGCCGCGGUAAUACGUAUGGAGCGAGCGUUGUCCGGAAUUAUUGGGCGUAAAGGGUACGCAGGCGGUUUAAUAAGUCGAAUGUUAAAGAUCGGGGCUCAACCCCGUAAAGCAUUGGAAACUGAUAAACUUGAGCAGUGGUGAGGAAAGUGGAAUUCCUAGUGUAGUGGUGAAAUACGUAGAUAUUAGGAGGAAUACCAGUAGCGAAGGCGACUUUCUGGACACAAACUGACGCUGAGGUACGAAAGCGUGGGGAGCAAACAGG